UACGUAGGGUGCAAGCGUUAUCCGGAAUUAUUGGGCGUAAAGAGCUCGUAGGCGGUUUGUCGCGUCUGCUGUGAAAACUGGAGGCUCAACCUCCAGCCUGCAGUGGGUACGGGCAGACUAGAGUGCGGUAGGGGAGAUUGGAAUUCCUGGUGCAGCGGUGGAAUGCGCAGAUAUCAGGAGGAACACCGAUGGCGAAGGCAGAUCUCUGGGCCGUAACUGACGCUGAGGAGCGAAAGCAUGGGGAGCGAACAGG
rnacentral:rRNA from 1 species